UCAGAAAUCUGAGAAAAGGUGCUUUCAUAGU
rnacentral:piRNA from 1 species